AUUGAACGCUGGCGGCAGGCCUAACACAUGCAAGUCGAACGCGUGGCGGACGGGUGAGUAAUGUCUGGGAAACUGCCUGAUGGAGGGGGAUAACUACUGGAAACGGUAGCUAAUACCGCACACCAUCCGAUGUGCCCAGAUGGGAUUAGCUUGUGGGUGGGGUAACGGCUCACCAAGGCGACGCGCCCUAGCUGGUCUGAGAGGAUGACCAGCCACACUGGAACUGAGACACGGUCCAGACUCCUACGGGAGGCAGCAGUGGGGAAUAUUGCACAAUGGGCGAAAGCCUGAUGCAGCCAUGCCGCGUGUAUGAAGAAGGCCUUCGGGUUGUAAAGCACUUUCAGCGGGGAGGCGUUACCCGCAGAAGAAGCACCGGCUAACUCCGUGCCAGCAGCCGCGGUAAUAC
rnacentral:rRNA from 1 species